UCGGGUGACUCAAACGCCUUAAAAUAUUUAAUUUGAGAUGGAAUAAACUACAAGAUGUUCUUCCUUCUAAAAUUGGCGAGCUUAAGAGUCUAACACAUCUGUAUCUGAGCUUUAACAAUUUUAAAGGGGAGAUCCCGAAGGAGUU